GAUUCUGGCUCAGGAUGAACGCUGGCGGCGUGCCUAACACAUGCAAGUCGAACGAAGCAUUCUGGUUGAGAUUCGUCAAGAACUGGAUUUGACUUAGUGGCGGACGGGUGAGUAAUGUAUGAGCAACCUGCCUUUCAGAGGGGGACAACAGUUGGAAACGACUGCUAAUACCGCAUAAUGUAUUUGGGUGGCAUCACCUGGAUACCAAAGGAGCAAUCCGCUGAAAGAUGGGCUCAUAUCUGAUUAGUUAGUUGGUGAGGUAACGGCUCACCAAGACUGCGAUCAGUAGCCGGACUGAGAGGUUGAACGGCCACAUUGGGACUGAGAUACGGCCCAGACUCCUACGGGAGGCAGCAGUGGGGAAUAUUGGGCAAUGGGCGAAAGCCUCGACCCAGCAACGCCGCGUGAAGGAAGAAGGUCUUCGGAUUGUAAACUUCUUUUAUGAGGGACGAAGGACGUGACGGUACCUCAUGAAUAAGCCACGGCUAACUACGUGCCAGCCGCCGC
rnacentral:rRNA from 1 species